rnacentral:piRNA from 1 species
UGCUUUGUCUAGGUCGUAGUCUCUGGUCU